UACUAAAUACUACCCCACUACUCCCAAGGUUUCCACUUUUCUUUUCUGUUGUCUGGUUUUAGACCUAUUAGAAUUGAGUCCUCAUGCUUUUGGUGUUAGGUGGAUAUUUUUUUAGAAUUGUUUUGUUCCGAUUUAUAAUGCUAACAACAGGCUGUUCUGUACCUGCUAUAUGAGAAAUCACACGGGCUGACUUCCCGUCAUGUAACAUAGAUUGAGCACGUGUAAACGCGGAGUUUUGUGUUUCUGUAGUGUUAUUCCAUAAUUUGUUGUUUCUUUGCUUUCAAAUACUCCAUAAGAUGCAGGCAAACAAUGAGGCAUCAUCCCUUGUAAUAUGUUGCAGCACCUAAAAAAAAGC
rnacentral:lncRNA from 1 species